AAGAGCCCAAACCAAUAAAGUUUUCUUUAUUGGGGUUGCGGACAUAUCAUAACGAAGAGGUAUCGAAAUUGAAGAGGUUUGGAAAGACCCACCAUAGAAGGUAAUAAUCCUGUAUGUUAAACGAGAAAACAUUAGUUAUAAUCCAGAGUACCACGGGACACGUGAAACCCUGUGGGAAGCAGGAGGGACCACCCUCCAAGGCUAAAUACUACCUAGUGACCG
rnacentral:rRNA from 1 species